AUUGAACGCUGGCGGCAUGCCUUACACAUGCAAGUCGAACGGCAGCACGGGAGCAAUCCUGGUGGCGAGUGGCGAACGGGUGAGUAAUGUAUCGGAACGUGCCCAGUCGUGGGGGAUAACGUAGCGAAAGCUACGCUAAUACCGCAUACGAUCUGUGGAUGAAAGCGGGGGACCGUAAGGCCUCGCGCGAUUGGAGCGGCCGAUAUCAGAUUAGGUAGUUGGUGGGGUAAAGGCCUACCAAGCCGACGAUCUGGAGCUGGUCUGAGAGGACGACCGGCCACACUGGGACUGAGACACGGCCCAUAGUCCUAAGGGAGGCAGCAGUGGGGAAUUUUGGACAAUGGGCGCAAGCCUGAACCAGAAAUGCCGCGAGCAUGAUGAAGGCCUUCGGGUUGUAAAGUUCUUUUGUACGGAGCGAAAAGGCUCUAUCUAAUACUGGGGGCUCAUGACGGUAGUGUAAGAUUAAGCACCGGCUAACUACGUGCCAGCCGCCGCCGUAAUAC
rnacentral:rRNA from 1 species